GUUCUUCAAGCUCUUCCCAGGGAUCACCUGAGGCAUGUGGGAUAUCCUCUGCAUGUGACAUGAGCUCUGACUGGGGCAAAGAGUUAAGUAGAGGAAUGGGGGGGGGUUAAUUUUUUAAUCUCCAAACAGUCUAUUCAAAUCACAAUAAAUCUCUAUCCCUUCUAGGGCCUUUAGCAGAUCCAGAAGCAGGUGUCACUCCCAAGACAGCCACGAAUACGGACUACCAAAACUGCCGAGAAGCACAAGAUGCACAACCUUUACCCCCGAGUCUGUGGGCUUCCCUGGUUUCCACCUGGCAUUUCUCUGUGGCAAGUUUAGAAGCUAACCAUGCUUAGGGGUGAGGAACAUAGGGUCUUCCCAAUGUGUUCCUGGAACAAAUCAAGGAGGAUGAUACCACACCACGCUCCACUUGGAAGUCUCCUGACUUGCCUCUAUCCUUGUGGACCUCCUCAGUGUGGAAUCGUUUCUCUUGCUGUUUCUUUCCUUUCCUCUUUCUGUCAACAGUUUUACUGUCUUCAGAAAAGUCUGUGGAUCUCCUUACACUUUGAAAAUGUGAACUGUCUUCACUCCGACUU